rnacentral:rRNA from 1 species
UACAGAGGUCUCAAGCGUUGUUCGGAUUCAUUGGGCGUAAAGGGUGCGUAGGCGGCGCGGUAAGUCGGGUGUGAAAUCUCGGAGCUUAACUCCGAAACUGCAUUCGAUACUGCCGUGCUUGAGGACUGGAGAGGAGACUGGAAUUCUCGGUGUAGCGGUGAAAUGCGUAGAUAUCGAGAGGAACACCUGCGGCGAAGGCGGGUUGCUGGGCUGACACUGACGCUGAAACGCGAAAGCUAGGGGAGCGAACGGG